rnacentral:rRNA from 1 species
CUUGAAUUUUAUAAGAGGUCCAGCCUGCCCAGUGACUCUGUUCAACGGCCGCGGUAUCCUAACCGUGCGAAGGUAGCGUAAUCACUUGUUCUUUAAAUGAGGACUAGUAUGAAUGGCACUACGAGGGUUAUACUGUCUCCUUUUUCUAAUCAGUGAAAUUAAUUUUCCCGUGAAGAAGCGGGAAUAUGACUAUAAGACGAGAAGACCCUAUGGAGCUUUAAACAACCCAGCAAUUACUUCUAAAAAUUUUAAAUUUCAGAAUAUUCAUUUUUUAAGUAAUAUGUCUGCAAGUUUUUGGUUGGGGUGACCAUGGAGAAUAACUUAACCUCCAUAUUGAAUGAACUCCAUUCUAAGCUGAAAAUUACCAAUUAAAGCAUCAACACACUGACAUUUAUUGACCCAAUAUAUUUGAUCAACGAAC